rnacentral:rRNA from 1 species
CCUACGGGUGGCAGCAGUGAGGAAUAUUGGUCAAUGGGCGCGAGCCUGAACCAGCCAAGCAGCGUGAAGGAUGACUGCCCUACGUGUUGUAAACUUCUUUUGUAAAGGAAUAAAGUUAAGCACGUGUGCCUUUUUGUAUGUACUUUACGACUAAGGAUCGGCUAACUCCGUGCCAGCAGCCGCGGUAAUACGGAGGAUCCGAGCGUUAUCCGGAUUUAUUGGGUGUAAAGGGAGCGUAGAUGGGUUGUUAAGUCAGUUGUGAAAGGUCGGGGCUCAACCGUAGAAGUGCAAUUGAUACUGGGAGGCUGGAGUGCAGGUGAGGUAGGCGGAAUUGGUGGUGUAGCGGUGAAAUGCGUAGAUAUAAGGAAGAACACCGAUUGCGAAGGCAGCUUACUAGACUGUAACUGACAUUGAGGCUCGAAAGCGUGGGGAGCAAACAGGAUUAGAUACCCGGGUAGUC